rnacentral:tRNA from 1 species
AGCUCUGGGGUGUAUCGACACAUUGGAUUGCAAAUCCAGAGGAGCAGACUAGACGUCUGCCGGGGCUU